rnacentral:sRNA from 1 species
AUUUGAGAUUCUAUGAGCUUGUUGUGCAUUCCUUAGGAGCUCCCUGUGGAAACCUCCUAUGGUCAGUACAAUAAUUGUAGAUCAUGUAAUUCUUCUGAACCCAUUUGAGUCUAGCUUGGCUUGUUGAAUCCAUUUCUUGAGUGUACCAAUUGGAGUUUGGUUUCGAGUCAAUCUUAAUGUUU